CCUACGGGGGGCAGCAGUGGGGAAUAUUGCGCAAUGGGCGAAAACCUGACGCAGCGACGCCGCGUGAGGGAUGAAGGUCUUCGGAUCGUAAACCUCUGUCAGCAGGGAAGAACGGUCACUGUGCUAAUCAGCAGUGAAUUGACGGUACCUGCAAAGGCAGCACCGGCUAACUCCGUGCCAGCAGCCGCGGUAAUACGGAGGGUGCGAGCGUUAAUCGGAAUUACUGGGCGUAAAGCGCUCGUAGGCGGUAUGUCAAGUCAAGGGUGAAAUCCCCGCGCUCAACGUGGGAACUGCCUUUGAAACUGGCAAACUGGAGUGUGUGAGAGGAGAGUGGAAUUCCAGGUGUAGGAGUGAAAUCCGUAGAUAUCUGGAGGAACAUCAGUGGCGAAGGCGACUAUCUGGAACAUAACUGACGCUGAGGAGCGAAAGCGUGGGUAGCAAACAGGAUUAGAUACCCUUGUAGUC
rnacentral:rRNA from 1 species